UGUCAAGGGAUGGGAAUCGAACCCGCAGUGUUCCGCUUACCGGGCAGAUGCCAUGUCCACUAGGCUACCCUGGAC
rnacentral:tRNA from 1 species